rnacentral:antisense_RNA from 2 species
CUCUAUGGCGGUUGUGCGUGGGGCACCUCGUGUGCGCCGGGUCAGGUUCUCUCACCGGUCUGUCAACCCACGCAUAGCUGCCACCCAC